CUCUCACCCUACUGCCCUUUUCUUUCACCUCCUGCUCAGUCUGACUGCCCUCCAUUACUAAGCUGCAUUCUUC
rnacentral:sRNA from 1 species